AGCCAGCAUGGCAUAGUGAUUUGAGUGUUGGACUACGACUCUGGAGACCAGGGUUUGAUUCCCAGCUUGGCUA
rnacentral:tRNA from 1 species